rnacentral:rRNA from 1 species
AGUGAACGCUGGCGGUAGGCCUAACACAUGCAAGUCGAACGGCAGCACAGUAAGAGCUUGCUCUUACGGGUGGCGAGUGGCGGACGGGUGAGGAAUACAUCGGAAUCUACUUUUUCGUGGGGGAUAACGAAGGGAAACUUACGCUAAUACCGCAUACGACCUACGGGUGAAAGCAGGGGAUCUUCGGACCUUGUGCGAUUGAAUGAGCCGAUGUCGGAUUAGGUGGUUGGGGGGGUAAAGGCCGACCAAGGCGAAGAUCCGUAGCUGGUGUGGGAGGAUGGUCAGCGACACUGGAACUGAGACACGGUCCCGACUCCUACGGGAGGCAGCAGUGGGGAAUAUUGGACAAUGGGGGGAAGCCUGAUCCAGCCAUACCGCGUCGGUGAAGAAGGCCUUCGGGUUGUAAAGCCCUUUUGUUGGGAAAGAAAAGCAGCAGGUUAAUACCCCGCUGUUCUGACGGUACCCAAAGAAUAAGCACCGGCUAACUUCGUG